GACGAAGGGGGCUAGCGUUGUUCGGAAUUACUGGGCGUAAGCGCGCGUAGGCGGUCUUUCAAGUCAGGAGUGAAACGGCCCCGGGCUCAACCCGGGAAUAGCUCUUGAUACUGUUGGACUUGAGUCCGGGAGAGGAUAGUGGAAUUCCCAGUGUAGAGGUGAAAUUCGUAGAUAUUGGGAAGAACACCAGUGGCGAAGGCGGCUAUCUGGACCGGUACUGACGCUGAGGCGCGAAAGCGUGGGGAG
rnacentral:rRNA from 1 species